GACCAGAAGAAAAGACAUAAGGAAGCUGAUUUUCUUUCUCUCUGCUCAGUGCUAUGUGAGGAUAAAAUGAAGAAGUCAUCACAUCCAAACCAAAAAGUUGGCUUCCACUGUACAUCACCUCUGUAGACACUUGAUUGUGGACUCCUAGCUUCCAGAUCUGUGAUAAACACGUCUUCAAAUAAUCUUCCAGAAAAGAUUUCAAACUCAUUACUCUUAAUCCUAACUUGGAAUCAACAUGCACAUAAGUUUUCCUGCAUCUCCACCUGUUGUGCCAAUCCCAACCUAUCGACUGAGCAAAGUGCACUUUGAAGAGGAUAGUGGUCUUUUUUUACACACAAGAGGAGAAAAACUGACACUGAUAAUCAACACCGUCUAUGACCAGGACGCUUGUGACACAGUAGUCUUUCAGAUACUUCUUCUUUGUUCUCAGUCUCUUUUCCUUUCUUCCACACAUCUUCCCGUCAACUUGCAGCCAAAUGACUUCUUCAAAGCCAAAUUAGAG
rnacentral:lncRNA from 1 species